rnacentral:tRNA from 1 species
GGCUCUGUGGCGCAAUGGAUAGCGCAUUGGACUUCUAGCUGGGGAAGGCAUUCAAAGGUUGUGGGUUCGAGUCCCACCAGAGUCG